rnacentral:rRNA from 1 species
AGUGAACGCUGGCGGUAGGCCUAACACAUGCCAGUCGAACGGCAGCACAGUAAGAGCUUGCUCUUACGGGUUGCGAGUGGCGGACGGGUGAGGUAUACAUCGGAAUCUACUUUUUCGUGUGGUAUAACGUAGGGAAACUUACGCUACUACCGCAUACGACCUACGGGUGAAAGCAGGGGAUCUUCGGACCUUUCGCGAUUGUAUGAGCCGAUUUCGGAUUUGCUAGUUGGUGGGGUAAUGGCCCACCAAGGCGACGAUCCGUAGAUGGUCUGAGAGGAGGAUAAGCCACACUGGAAGUGAGACACGGACCAGACUACUACGGGAGACAGCAGUGGGGAAUAGUGGACAAUGGGCGGAAGACUGAUCCAGCCAUACCGCGUGGGAGAAGAAGGCCUUCGGGUUGUAAAGCCCUUUUGUUGGGAAAGAAAAGCAGCAGGUUAAUACCACGCUGUUCUGACGGUACCCAAAGAAUAAGCACCGGCUAACUUCGUG